UAGCGUAGGGUGCGAGCGUUGUCCGGAAUUAUUGGGCGUAAAGGGCUCGUAGGCGGUCUGUCACGUCGGGAGUGAAAACUCGGGGCUUAACUCCGAGCCUGCUUCUGAUACGGGCAGACUAGAGGUAUGGCAGGGGAGAAUGGAAUUCCUGGAUGUAGCGGUGAAAUGCGCAGAUAGUCAGGAGGAACACCCGGGGCGAAGGCGGCCCUCUGGCUCGACCCUGACGCUGAGGCGCGAAAGCGUGGGGAGCGAACGGG
rnacentral:rRNA from 1 species